rnacentral:misc_RNA from 1 species
CAACCCUUAAGCCUAGCUUAGUGUUGGGAGUCUACUUUAGUGGUAACUUGUUAUCCCGUAGUUCCUAAAAUGAAACGGCGGAUCUGCAGUAUCCUCUGAGCGUAGUAAAUUUUUAUCUCGCUUUUGUCAGGUGCUGUGGCUCUUGCCGCUAAACCCCCAAUUUUUAAU